rnacentral:rRNA from 1 species
UACGAAGGGGGCUAGCGUUGCUCGGAAUCACUGGGCGUAAAGCGCACGUAGGCGGCGAUUUAAGUCAGAGGUGAAAGCCCGGGGCUCAACCCCGGAACAGCCUUUGUGACUGGAUUGCUUGAACAUCGGAGAGGUGAGUGGAAUUCCGAGUGUAGAGGUGAAAUUCGUAGAUAUUCGGAAGAACACCAGUGGCGAAGGCGGCUCACUGGACGAUUGUUGACGCUGAGGUGCGAAAGCGUGGGGAGCAAACAGG